ensembl:lncRNA novel transcript
CACUUGGCCACAUGGCGCGAAGCUGGGAAGACGGACACCGACCUAAGUCAGUGUUAGUCUACCACUGUACAUCUGGUAACCUCAAUCCCUGCAACCGGGGCAAAAUGGGUUUCCAGGUCUUGGCAACCUUUGAAAUUCCAAUUCCAUUUGAGAGAGCUUUGACGAGGCCAUAUGCUGAUUUCACCACCAGCAACUUCAGAACCCAGUACUGGAAUGCCAUCAGCCAGCAGGCCCCUGCCAUCAUCUAUGACUUCUAUCUGUGGCUCACUGGAAGGAAACCCAGGUGGUUAGAUAACGCUGUUAUUGACGAGAUCACACCCAAGCUGAUCAGAGAUCUGCCCAAUUCUUGCACCUACCGCAAGGCCUUGGGAGAAAUGGUGGUGCAGCAGGAGAGCAGAAAUGUAACCAUCGCCAUCAUAAGGCCCUCCACUGUGGGAGCGACGUGGCACGACCCUUUCCCAGUAAGCCCACUCACCUGAAUUCUGUAUUUUGCUUCCAAAUUAAAGUUCUUCUAGCCCAA